rnacentral:lncRNA from 1 species
CAUGCUUCGGGCGGGGAAAAAAAGACAGAGAAUUGGGUUUUUUUUCUUCAUAGGAUUUUGGGAAGACUGAGGCAAUCGUUGCUGAAGUCAGUGUUGUAAUGGUGAAUCGGGAUUUUUAAUGAAGUGGAUUUGAAUACUCUUGACUGUUUUGUGAAAUCGAGUUACGUCUGUGAUUGAAGAAUUAAAAGGGUGUCUAUAGGAUUGAGUAUGUGGAGUGAAUGAAAUUUAUUGGAUUAAUCUAACAAGAUAGUUAGUGGAUACAAGAUCGUAAGUACAAAGCGGUAUCGAAGAUUAACAGUUUGGGUUGUUCGGGGUUCUCUGUAACGUCUAGAGACCUACCGA